UCUGAUAGAUGUAUGGAAGCUUCUUUGAGUCUCUCAUCUUCUCCUCCUUGAAGCUCCCAGCUAAUCUACUGAUGAUGAUCCCUGAGCACUCUCCGAUGAUCCACUGUCUCUACUUCCUCCGAUGAGCCACUGUCUCUACUUCCUCCGAUGAGCUUCCAAUUUCUUCAUGCAGCUAAGUUUCUUGCUUUACGGAUGUGCUCAAUGUUACAGGUUGGUCGAGCACUUCUCCACUUCCUAAGUUUCAGGGUUAAUGGGUUAAUUGGAGGAACAGCUUCCUUCACUUCUUUAAAUUUUCCUACCAAAGAACGUACAGAAAGCCAAAAACUGGAGAAAGAAACUGUCUUUUGGCGCUAAAUUUUUUUAGGUUUUUGGCUCCAAAAGAAUUUCAGAAUAACCACUAUAUAUUUGAGAAGUUUCAUUGCAAAAUGAAAGAAUAUCUGAACCUGGACAAGAAGACCAGAGUUCUGUAAAUCAAUGGCACCGGGUGGACGUGUCUUUAGACAAACUACACUUACAGGGGAAACUACUCAAGAUACUCAAUUAGUGGAUGACUCAAAUAACCUUACUCAUGUUAAUACAGAUGAUUUCACUAGACUUAAGAAAGGUUGUGGCAAAACUAGAGGGAAAGGUCUUGAAAAAAUGAAAAAGACUUUGGGAAACAAGAUGAAAAUAGAAAUUCCACUGGGCAAAGGAAGGCUGACUAAACCAGAUCAAUCAUCAAAACUAUCCAAUGAGUUAGGGAUAAUUGCCCAAACUUUCUAUUGCUUCCAAACAAGUGGAAGGAACUCACAAGAGAGGACAAAGAUGCAGCACUAAUUAGAUGUCACGAGAGGUUUGAGAUUAAUUUGGAUGAGCAUUACGUGAAAGAUAGUUGCGAGGAUAUCCUGAAAAAUAGAAGCAGACAGUGGCGUUACAAGUUAAAACAACUAUUUGAAAGUGCACACUCCGAGGAAGAAGCUCGUAAAAUUGAAGUGCCAGAGUUGACCCCCGAAAAUUGGAAUAGGCUUUGUGACAUGUGGAUCAAUCCACAUCAUAAGGGUGGGACUAGACCUGAAGGACUAGAGCCUGAUAGAAUCGAGUUUUACAAGCAUACUCAUUACACGAGUGAAAAAGGAUGGUUUUCUCUAGAGGGUGAGACUCAUUAUAACAACAUGAUUGAUUUGAAAGAUAUAUAUACUUCGGGAGAGUCUUCCAUGACUAUUGAUGAAAAUGUGGAUAUUGUUCUUGGUACAAAGUCGGGAUAUAUAAAAGGCCUUGGUUAUCAUCCAAAACCUAAUACUACAAGAGCUACACAAAGGAGAACGGCUGAGUUAGAAGACUCUCUCAAAAAGGUGUAACAAGAAGUUGCUAGUGCCCAACAUGACUUACUGAAACGAUUAAAUGUAGCUGAAACUAAGGUAGAAAACCAACAGUUUCAGAUACUAGACCAGCAAUCCCAGAUUCAAGACCAACAGUCACAAAUAAAAGCAUUAAAUUCUCAGUUGGACACUGUAGUAGCAAGCCAAGAAGACAUGUUUAGGAAGAUACAACUCUUUGCUCGCUCAUCGCC